GAAUUUAAUAUAAAGAAAUUUUUUGUUUGGUUUUAGAAGAUUGUUUUAUAUUUAGUUGGGAUAAUUAUUAAAUUUAGAAAAUUUUAAUUAAAUUAAAUAUAGAUUAGUAAAUUUAAAGAGUGAUAAUUAUAUUAAAGUAGAAUUAAUUACCUUAGGGAUAACAGCGUUAUAUUUUUAGUGAGAUCAUAUCUAUAGAAAUGUUUGC
rnacentral:rRNA from 1 species